AACGGCCUCACACUUUAAGAUAUUUCCUUUUUAAGUAUGAUAUCUCGGUUUGUAGUGAAUUCAAUAUUUUUUGUGGUUUUUGAACCCAAUUCCUGCUAUGGAGAUAAAUGUAGGCUACUCUGACUCCAACGAUUAAUCCAUAUAGUUCCUACUAGCAAAUCUGUCUAGUAUAUGAAUUCUAUCUCAAUACCACUCGAUCUCUAGAAUCCAUUCACUGCUUUAACUUAGGGCCAUAAUGCAAGCUUAAUCUCACUUACCCCGCGGCAGAGCUUAUAUGAC